AUUCUGCAGAUAUAUUUUACACGUACAUAGAAAACACCAACAAGGAUUCUUGUUGGUAACAUUAAUAUAUCUGGUAAACUGUACACAGUUCAGUUUUUGCCAGAAAAGCUAGCAAGCUAGAAAAGCUAGAAAAGUAAACAGUUAGCCUAGCUCCCCUAGUAGUAAACAAUUAGUCGCCAUGGAAACCGAUCAGAAGGCAGCACAGCACAGCUCUCAGAGUAGAGAGCACGGAGAUUCAGUACCCUGCUAAAUGUAAGAGUGGAACAGCUAGGGAGAAACACAAGGAGAAGACUCUCUGUGAAAACCCAGGGGUCCUCUUCACUGACUACGCCCAACAAAAAGAAGGAAGGAAGAGGAACAACCUCAUAUUCUUCACUGAUUCAGUUUACAUCUGGAAAGAUACUCUUUGCAGCAAUUAUGCAUAUGUAUCAAGUGAGGGCAUCGGCGCAGGAGGCAGAUUAAAGAUCUGUAAAGAUGAACACCUUGACAAGGAUAACCCUCUGCUUACCAUCACAUACUACAACAAAGAAAAGGUCAUGGUCCAAGGGAAUGAAGCACACCUAGAGUCCUUUCAAGAGGCAUUUCCCCUGUUGAAAGCUGAGGUGGAGGAUCAAUGUCCUCUCUGACAGUGAAGAUGAUGAGAGCCCAUUAGGGAACCCCACUACCUUGUCAAUCUCUGCUCCUCCCACACAUGCCAGAACCAACAACCAGCUGAAGGAGAGUACUCUUGUUGAGAGAACAGUGUGCUCCGUGCUCAGUUAACCAAAGUGAAGCAAGAUGCUAAGAAUAGAGAAAGGAGCUUCACCAGGCAAGUCCAUCACCUAACAGACCAGCUCUCAUCAGUCCCCAAAUGACAGACAAUUGAUAAGAGACACAGACACACACGUGGCACUGGUUGCUAUGGUGAUUGUGGCACCCUGAGGGAGUGGAGGGGGGAGGGGCAGACAAUAACUUAGACAGGUCAGGCAGUUCAUUUAAUAGAGAAUUAGUGUAGCCCAGGGUAAAAAUCCAUCCAUCCAAAAAUAAUCCAAUCCAGUUUCCAGUCCAGGUUUUCCAUUUCCUCCCUUCCAACCCUCUGUAUUUAAUGUAGUGUCAUUCCAUGUACUGUAGUUGCCAGUCCAUGUUUUCCACCCUUUCUUUCCCUUGCCAUAAGACACACCCCCUUUGUUUCAAUUAGCCAAUCACAGCCCUCUGCCUCAGUAUAAAAGCUGUCCUGACUUCUCUCAGCUCAGUUGUGUGGGAGAGAAGUCAGAGCAGCUGUAGGGCAGUACCUCCAUUCAAGCAAAUAUUGGUUUUCAUUUAUUCUCUGUUAAGCAUCUAAACAUUUCUGUAGAAACCAGAAUCAUCCGGUGAUUGGGCGUUGUUGUGUGUGCUGGGCAAAAUGUUUCUUACUGAACUGGCCAGGUGCCCAUUCAGGGUAUAUUCGAUGGUGAGCUAGGCUCUGGAGCACACAACGUUCCUGUUAUCCAUCCAACACUCUUCGGUCUGGUAGGAGGCGGUACAGCCUGUCCUUUUACUCUCCCACCUCCUCGAGCUACGCAACCGCUGCAAUAUUCAACCCCCCGGACAAUCGCGCUAACGGACAUUUCAAAUCACUCAAUAACAAACAUAUGGACUCAAACGUGGUGCGCAGCCUCGGUGUUCUUCAUCCUUAGUUGGGAGAACAGACAUUGAAUUUUUUUGUUUCCUUCCUGCCUCAAUGAACAAUAUCUUGGACAUUUAAUUUAAAAUUGAUUGAAGUUGAUUUUUGAUUUAUUUCUGCUGCAGUAGUUCAUGUAUAUAUUGGGUUAUGUUUAUAUUCACUUUUUGUACAAUACACUUUUCCUUAAUUCAA